UACGUAGGGGGCGAGCGUUGUCCGGAUUUAUUGGGCGUAAAGCGUGCGUAGGCGGCUGCGCAAGUCGGUUGUGAAACCCCGGGGCUCAACCCCGGAACUGCAUCCGAUACUGCGUGGCUAGAGGUAGGUAGGGGAGAUCGGAAUUCCUGGUGUAGCGGUGAAAUGCGCAGAUAUCAGGAGGAACACCGGUGGCGAAGGCGGGUCUCUGGGCCGAUACUGACGCUGAGGAGCGAAAGCGUGGGGAGCGAACAGG
rnacentral:rRNA from 1 species